rnacentral:tRNA from 1 species
GGGCCGGGGGCCUAUUUGGACAGGCAUUGGGCUCUUAACCCGAAGAUAGCGGGUUCAAAUCCCGUCCGGCCCG